AUGUAUAAUUGCAAGAAUUAAAAUGAGAUAUUAAAACUAUAAUGUUUAAUUGAUCUUCUCACACUUGUUCUUGCCUCCAAAGUAGUCUAAAAACAAGCUUAAUUAUGUCUUGGGCGAGCUUCUAAAGUUUAUAAGGGUUUGGAACAAUUUUUUCCCGAAUUACACUUUGGUCCCUAGUUUUCUGGCAAUUGAACAGUUCACCGCGGCCGCAGUAAGACCGCGUCGCGACCGCUGUGAACGCUAAACAUUCUGCCUUGUGUAAUUGUCUGUCGCGGUUCAACCGUGGUUCCACCACGGUCGCGGUGGAUUUCAUCUCAGUCCAUUUUUGCUUUUUUAUGCUCAAGGUACUUCUUGAUUGGGCGUUUUCUUCAUAUUAUUGACUCCAAAACACUCCGUAGUGCUUCCUCACUUAGAUUAUUCCCUGUGAAGCAAAAUGACAACAAUUAGAGCAUUUUGUAAUCAAUUCGCCUAUAAAACAAUAAUAAAGCAUGGUAAUAUUAAGGUGUAAAUAUCGUCUAUAUAGCCUAAUAUCAAAGGUGUUAGGCACCCCUCGAGGUCCACAACGGUGGGUCCCGACCGAACUUAAAUUAAGCGAAUUAGUCUAAAAAAGGAAAGAGGACAUUUUGGACAAAUACAAUAUCUAAUUUAUUUUAAACAGGGUAUAAGGGGUAGUCCUAAGUUUUAGCCUAUAGGAUCAUUCCAUGCAAUACUUUGUAACUCCCUCAAGGCAGGGUGUUACUCAUAGCAUUAGCGCACGAGCUAUCAUUUCCUUACUACCCAAUUACUAUCCUUGAGUUGUUACCUAAGCAUACUAAUAGUUUCUAGCUCGUUCCUUAUGCGUGCACUACCCCUCCCUUGGCUAUGGCCCUGGAGGUAAUAUGGCCUCUAUUUGGGAUAAUUCUAGACCAACCUACAUUGCUUAAAAUGUGAAAUCCAGAUGACAAACAAAAACAAGUAGGACUUUCAAAUAAAGAACAAGUAUGGGCUCAUAUUAACCUCCACACAUAAACAACAAAAGCACGCAAUUGAAUCAGCAAACUUUGUUAAUUUUGGAAUCCUAUAGGCAGAAUAUCUACGUGAGUAAAAUAGAGUGUAAAUACAAUUUUAGUAAGGCGAGCAUUAGGCCUAUUUGUUUACCUACUAAUUUUAUUCAACAUAGAUUUGGGCAUUUCAGGUAGUAGUAUGUGUCACAAUUAUAAGCCCAGGAUUAUUAAGUCCUACAAACACUUUGCCUAAGUGAUUGAUAAUAACGACUGAAUUCAGAACAAGAUCCUAUAUGCAUGAUUUCUAUGAGCUUCUUAAUUACAGACCUAUAAACAUGGUUUCUAAGCGGAGCACUGAUUUUAACUCAUACAGAUAGUUUUUAUUCCUUUUAGAUCUUAUAGGCAUGCUUUCUAAUUGCUGAAUUGAUUUAAACCCUUAUAGGCAUGCUUUCUAAUUGCCGACUUGAUUUAAACCCCUAUAGGCAUGAUUUCUAAGAUUCAGAGCUGAUUUUACCCUAUAUGCAUGAUAUCUAUUAAUCGUAUUUGGACAGAAAUUAACAGAUUGUCAUGAAAGAUAAUCAACAAAAGUCCUAUAGACAUGUUCACUAAUACACAUUAGGUUGAAAAUAUGUGUAAAUCCUAUGAACAUGAUUUCUAAUGCAGAAUCAAGAGAAAAGUCUUAAUGAGAAGGGUUUCUAGCAUGCAGGCACAGAAUCAGGAAAAUCCUAUAGGCAGGAUCUCUAAACACAGUCCAACAUUUACGUAAUUCAAUCAACAUAAUUAAACCUAUAGGCAGGAUUUCCACCCAGUUUUAACAAAGGUAUACCUCAAAUAUGUUAUUACAGAGAUUAUUACAACCCAGAAUGAAUGAAUUACGUAAUUGUAACGAUUACACUAUAGGGAGCCUUCAUAGGCCCAAUCUAAACCUGGGAACUAGGCCUUCAAACAACAGGUCUGGAGCAUAAUAGUGAUCCAUAUGGCACAUAAAAUUAGGUUUCCAAUGUGUCAAAGUUCCCAAGGGCCUCAGGGACCCCGGACAAUGCUCACACCAGAAUCACAUUCAGAAAAAAUAACUCAUAAAAAGAUUGGAAGACCAACCCCAAUGUGUCAGAGUUCGGAGGAGUCUCAAGGACCCUAGGAAGUGCUCACACUAGGGGUGGUGAGAACCUAAAUGACUAAGAGUAGGAGUUUAAAAACCAGUGCAUACAGGGUAAGAGGCAUGUUUUUAAAGUAGUUUAUUUUUCGGAGGCAAGCAAAUUCAGAAUAUAGAGUUACAGACAGAACUGCACCAAGAAAUAAACAGGUUUAUGUUCAGCAUAUAGUUCAAACAAAUUGGCAUUUGAUUAGGCUAAAUAUUAAAGUAAUCAUGACUUAAACACAGAGACAGAAAUAGACUGGACCCACAAAUAUAUUUGAUUACAUGCUUACAGUAUCUGGCAACGUUUAGAAAGAAAAACAGAUUGAACAUUAAAGCUAACUUAGGAAAAGGGGGUCACAUUAUUUGAAGUAACUUAAUUUAACAUUAUUACUAAAUAGGAUCAUGUAGUCACAUAGAAAGCAGAAUCAUGCUGAGGAUUGAAACGGACUAAUCGAAUAAAGUAUAGAGAACAUAAUAGUAAGAGUUAAGGCAUACCAGUUGAGAAGAAAGCAAGUAAGAAUGCAAUAGCAGUUAAAUUCCAGAGAGUUUAGCCUUGGCUUUCAGCCGGCCAAAUAAUAGCCACUUAUUGCAGAAAUCAGAAUAAGAGAAUAAAGAGAGAGCUUAAGUUUUUGUGAGAACAGAGAGUUAGAGAGUUGUAGAGUUGUUGAGUUCUUCUAAAAGGAGUGAGGAAGGGGAUUUAAAUAGCACCUAAUGAAGUAAAAAAAUAAGGUAAUGAACCAGUCCAACCCAAAUAAGGUAUGAAAAUAACUUAACAAUCAAUUAAGGUCCACAUGAAUCAAUUAACAAGGUAGAAUCGAGUAAAGUUAGGCUAGUAUCACUUAAUUUAAGGAAAACCUUAUAUGGAAUCAAUUAGUAGUCAAGUACUAGGUUAAAUGAGGAAAGAACUAAUUCUAAAAUCAAUUAAAAGUCGGGUUUAAUAAUCAAAACAAAAAAUCAGGCCAGUAAGGUUAAGUUAAUGGAAGUAGCACAAAUUAUUAAUUAGACAUUGGUCCAAAUACGGUAAGAACAGGAAACCGCAUAAGUAAACACCAGUACUAUACAGAAAAGGAAAACUGAUUUCAAAUCCUAAUUUAGUAAAUAAAAUCAAUUAGCAAUAAGUCGCCAGAGUCAAAGGCAAACCGGUAGAAACAGUAAGAAUGAAUAAAUAAUCGGAACCCUAAGAAAAAGGCAGAAAUACGAAGACAUAUAACAAGUAAAUCAGUAAAAUAAAUUAGAAAACCCUAACAGAUACACAGAGACGAAAAUGUUUAAAGGUUAAAAUAUUAUUUUUUUUGCAAAAAUCUGUUGAAAUCAAAACCCUAGUUUUAGGAUAAAUAAAAUCGGUCAUGAAAUAAUGAUAGAAAAAGAUUAGAGAAAUAUAGAGAAAAAGAGUAUUGAAAUUUUAAAGGAAAAAUACCAAAACGAACAUAAAAAUAUUUCAGAUUUGGGAAGAUCUAAAUAGGUUCAACCAAAAAUAGCCAGAUUCAUAAAAAUAAGCAUAAGUUGGACCAAAUCUGGUUUGAACCAGAGAUUUGAAAUCCUAAGAUAUGAAAAUAUUUGUACUCACAGGUAUUGGGAUUAACAUAGACGGAAUAAUCGAAAUUUGGGAGACUUUGAACCAAAUCUGGUUAAAGUCUCUUGAAAUACUCUUGCCUUUUGAGACAAAUGGGUCAAGUAGCAUCAAGAUCGAGUAGCCAGUAGAGAAGCAAGGCCAAAUAAGGCAGGGAAUCAAAGGAUGAUCCCAUGAAUCAAGAGGGAAAGUGUGAUGGCGGGCUAGGGUUUGAGAGGGUGAGAGAGGUGAGAAGAGUAUCAG
rnacentral:lncRNA from 1 species